GGGGCGAAGGGAGCCGGGAAGCGGAAGCGGCGAGCGCGCCUGGAGCGCAGCUGCGGGCGUGGGUGCGGCAGGAGCCGCGGAGCCGGCCGGGGAGCGGGGCUGCCGGAGCGGGCGGCCGAGACAAAGGCGACGAAAUGAAUGCCGAACCCUUACGAAGAGAUAAAGGUUAUUUGGUACAUAUUGGUGGUCUCUGUCCUUCAGUAUCUGAGAUAUGCAUCUCUUGCUUUCCAACAACAACAAAAAAAAACAGUGAUGUAAAGAUGGCUGUGAAAGAAAUGAUGCCAAAAAGAACUGCAAAGAAAUGUCAAGCACAUGAACACAGCUAGACAAUCCAAGGCAAGAUGAAUGUCAGAAGAUUUUGGCUUCCUGGAAAAAACUCACCAUGGACUUUGGUUAUUCAGAAUUAGCUACUUCUUCUGUAAGGCUAUCAGAUAAAUCACAAGAUUGUUGUCAGCUGGGAAGAUGGUGGAGGUAACAGUUUUAAACUCGCCCCUGAACCUCCUAGACAGAGUUACUGGAAGAGAAGCAAACAAAACAAAGCAAAAGGCCCUGGGACAACAUAUACAGUACCAAAAAAAUUAAGUGAUAAGGAGUCCUGUGAAUCCCAAAAUUUGAGCAGUCAGGACAAAUCUGCAAAGCUACAGUUGCAAUCGGUACUGACAGCUACGGAGGACAAGGAGGGACACAGUGGGGAAUCUAGGGGAGCUGAGCACAGGAGGACCAACCUUGCAGCUGCAAUGGACAGGGUGAGACACCCUCACGUGAGACGAUUCACAGUAACGCACGGAUCCAUGGUAAAGUCCUCAGGAGCUGGAGCACGACAGUCCUCUGAACACCCAAAAUUAGGCAAAGCUCCCUUCCAGGACAAAGCCCCACAUUAUAGAUAAGUGUGAGGAAUUAAAAUAUCAAAUACUACUGGAGUCAGUUAAAAAGACCUUUAGUAUAAGAAAGGGUGGUUCAAGGAAAAAUGGGGGAAAGAUAGAGAAAAACCUAGGAAAUCUCAAGAAAUAUGAGGCCAUAUUUUUAGCACUUCACAAAACUGUCAUAAGAAGAGCAUUAGAGCCAUAAAUCUAGUAAAAGGAUUCAGACCCACUUCUACCUGCUACAAGUUUGGGAAAACAGAUUUUCACACCAGAAUGACAACAGGAAGGACUGCGGCUCACAGGACAGAGUGACACCCUUAGAUGAAGGCAUGUCAGAAAGAUAUGCCUGCAAAACAGAAGAAAACCAGGAUCCACUGUUUCAAGAAAUGAGAAAAGACAUUAAGAAAAUGAUAUAAUAGGAAUGCUGUAAAUCAGAAUUAGAGAAACUCAGGAAUGGGUUAAACAUUUGAAGUAAAUGGAAAAGAAAUCACUUCAGAAGUGAAGUCUAAACUAGAAGCUACACAAGAGUGAUUAUACAGCAGAUAAUAUCAGAUAAACAUAAGUUGCAAAGAAUGAAAAAAUUAAAAAUCAAAAAGAAAAAAGAUGAAAAGAAUUCAAUUGAAAAUUACAAACAGAAGACAGGAAAAGAAGACUGAACACACUAAGACAGGCCUCAAAUAAUAUAAACUAAAUAUAUAUAAUAGUAAUAUAAUCUUAACUAUAUAUAAUUUUGUUUCUUAUUCUCAAAUAGCUGUGUACAUAAUGUUGCAUAAAAUAUUGACUAAUUAUAUGAUAUUUUAAAAUUUUAUUGUUCAUGAUAUCCACAAUUCUCACCAUGUCAGAGAGGAGGUAAGAUUUUAGAUAGAAGAGAUACAUAAAACCCAGUAGCCAUAAAUUUCAAUGGAAAAUAUCAGUAUGAAUUAAUGAGGUGUUUUUAUCUUUUAAAAGUAUAUUGAUUUCCUAACUCUGUCCAUUCCAAGGCCUAGAGAGAGAAGACAGUAGCAACACGGAGUGGCCAGAAAGUACUCUUGAAAUACAAUUUCAAACUAAAAGAAACUGGAGCCCUUGGAAGAAAGCAGUGGUUUAGGAUGUGUACAAAAUGGGCCUUAAACCUUGUCACCCGAGAAAGCAGGAACAAACUUUGGGAUCCAACACAGAGGCCCCCACUGGUCAAAGAUGGGAAAACCUCAGCAUCAGAAAGGAUUUUGUCAAAGAAUGACAACUAAAAGAAAAAACCUAGCUGGUUACCACUGAAGGAUGCUAUUUUGAAAACUGGAACUAUGGACCUCACAACAUGAAGGAAAAUAAGCCUUGGCAUCAUUUAAGGCUAUACCGAUGAAGCAAGGAGAGAAAGGAACACUUACCGACAAGCCGAGAUACAAAAGGAGAAGGUGUGUGCAAUCCUGUUUAACAACCUUCGCAUCUUUUGUCACAGUUUAACUUGCGCACACACGUACACACAUAAGUGUUGCGAUAAUCCAACAGACGUCUGCACCCGGCACUGUGGGGUUAAUUCUCUGACUCCCACACAGCAGGUGGUCACAAUCUAACAGCAACAUUCACUAUGAGAGUCUGACAGCUUCCUAGGGAACAUCCCUAGAGCUUCUAGAAGGAUGCUACACGUGAGAUCUAGAAAGAUGCUACACGUGAGAAAAAGGAAUAGUCUGAAAAACUGAAAUGUUUCAGUCAAGCUUACGUGAUUUUAAUUUUUAAAAACAAAUCCAAAGAACAGUAUUUUAUUUCAGCGGUCUUCUAUGAGCAAUUUGAUAUACAAAAACUGUUUUCUUAAAAGUCUCAACCAUAAGAAAAUACUUUUUAUUCUUUGAGAUUUCUUUAAAUGUUUUUAUUAUCAACAUCACCUCUCUGUAAUUUGUAUUUAGCUACCACACCUCAAAUUAUUUGCUUUAAUUAAAACUAUAAUAAUUAAAACAAUGUACUAUUUAUUUUAUUCUUACUUUUCAUACAGUAUUAUUUUGUUCCUUCCACUAACCUACAGGAGCUAAGAGUUGAACAUGGUCAGCGUCAAAGUAUUCUGAGGGUGAGUGUAGAGUCAGAGCCACACAGAGCCCGAACCCUUUCUCCAUCUUCUGUUCCUUCCCUUGCAGUAUUCUGGAUUAACAGAAGAAAACAGUCACCCGACCUCCAGAUGAUUUUCCACCUGUGCCUGGCAAGACUGGGGAAAACCCUGGGGCUACACUCGGGUGUCUGAUGACUGAGGGUUUCACAGAAGAGGCCUCUUCUGACUCAGCUUGGAGGGACUCGUCUGUUAGGAACAGCAUGAGCCUAGGAAACCUUCACCACGAACCUUGUGUUAGAUCAUGAGCCCCAGCAUUUGGGAACAACUGAAACAUAUCUCUAAAUCUUACAGAUCAUAAUACUGUUUAAAUUCUAGGCCUUAAAAAUACAGUAAACAUUAAAGCUUCUGGGA